UUCGUGCAGCAGGCUCUAUCAAUGAUGCCAUCACAUCAGGAGCUCAUAUGAGGGCUGGUUACCAGUAUAGUACAUAAAUAACAUUAAAAGAACUAUUUGUCUAACUCCGUGGCUACCGCCGUUAGCUAAACGUUGGUCCAACAAUGUCGCCUGUGUUGCUCCCUGAUAGGCGGUGACACUUCUCUGCAUUUGCUCUACUGGCAGACCGAUGCUGUAAGUGUGAGUGAGCGGCAUGUCAGGAAGUAUCACUACUUUCUUUAAGGACUGACAUUGCUUUUUUUUCAGGAUUUUUAGCUAUUUCGUAGAGUCACAGUUCUCCAAAUAUGCUGUAAUGUUGAUAUUGAAGAUGAUGAUGAUAAAGAAGAGCUGAGCUACAGUGACCAAGCUGAUGGUGAAAGUAACGAGAUGUAAUAUGUGGACUGCUGGAUCUUGUAAAUUUCCCCAUGGGGAUGAAUGAAGUAUUCAACCAUCCAUCCAUCCAUCCAUCCAUCCACAUUGC